CCUACGGGAGGCAGCAGUGAGGAAUAUUGGUCAAUGGGCGCGAGCCUGAACCAGCCAAGUCGCGUGAGUGAAGACGGUCCUAUGGAUUGUAAACCUCUUUUGUCGGGGCGCAAACGACGCCACGCGUGGCGUUCCGAGAGUACCCGAAGAAAACGCAUCGGCUAACUCCGUGCCAGCAGCCGCGGUAAUACGGAGGAUGCGAGCGUUAUCCGGAUUUAUUGGGUUUAAAGGGUGCGCAGGCGGAAGAUCAAGUCAGCGGGAAAAUUGAGAGGCUCAACCUCUUCGAGCCGUUGAAACUGGUUUUCUUGAGUGCGUGAGAAGUAUGCGGAAGGCGUGGUGUAGCGGUGAAAUGCAUAGAUAUCACGCAGAACUCCGAUUGCGAAGGCAGCAUACCGGCGCUCAACUGACGCUCAUGCACGAAAGUGUGGGUAUCGAACAGGAUUAGAUACCCGUGUAGUC
rnacentral:rRNA from 1 species